GAAUUUUGGACAAUGGGCGAAACCCUGAUCCAGCAAUGCCGCGUGCAGGAAGACGGCCUUCGGGUUGUAAACUGCUUUUGUACGGAACGAAAAGCUUUGGGUUAAUACCCUGGAGCCAGUACGGUACCGUAAGAAUAAGCACCCGCUAACGUCGUGCCCGCAGCCGCGGUAAUACGGAGGGUGCAAGCGUUAAUCGGAAUUACUGGGCGUAAAGCGUGCGCAGGCGGUUUUGUAAGACAGAGGUGAAAUCCCCGGGCUCAACCUGGGAACUGCCUUUGUGACUGCAAGGCUAGAGUACGGCAGAGGGGGGUGGAAUUCCGCGUGUAGCAGUGAAAUGCGUAGAUAUGCGGAGGAACACCGAUGGCGAAGGCAACCCCCUGGGCCUGUACUGACGCUCAUGCACGAAAGCGUGGGGAGCAAACAG
rnacentral:rRNA from 1 species